rnacentral:rRNA from 1 species
UACAGGGGGUGCAAACGUUGCUCGGAAUCAUUGGGCGUAAAGCGCACGUAGGCGGUUUGUUAUGUCGGAUGUGAAAGCCCUUGGCUCAACUAAGGAAGUGCAUCCGAAACUGGCAAGCUGGAGUACUAAAGAGGGUCGCGGAAUUCCCGGUGUAGAGGUGAAAUUCGUAGAUAUCGGGAGGAACACCGGUGGCGAAGGCGGCGACCUGGGUAGAUACUGACGCUGAGGUGCGAAAGCGUGGGGAGCAAACAGG